UUUAAAUGGGAAAUACUUCCUAGUUUCUGAACAGAAUACAACAUACUACAUACUCCAUAUUUUGUGAACAAAAUACAUCAUAGUACAUACUCCAUACUUUAUUUAAUGGAAAUACUCCAUACUUUCUGCACAUAAUACAACAUACUGCAUAUAUAUUAAUUUCUUAUAAAAUUACUCCAUUCUAUCUCUCUCUUUAAAGUUACUCCAGAUUCUACCUAAAGAUUUUCCUUCCACAAGGAAUAAUAGGCAUCACGUCCACAUAUGCUUAUCCAAUAAACAGUUUGACCAAGUGCGUAGCCUAGAAUUGAGGGAGUGGUUGCACAACUCAUCGGAUUAUUUAAUAAUAAAACUUAAUUAGAUGUUCUUAUUGGAUUCCGUAGGAACCCGUUAACCAGAUCCAUCCUAUCAUAUUGGCUUCCUCCUACGUAGAGUGUGGACACGUGGAGAUCAGUUAGCUAGGUGGUAGUUGCCACUGCUUGUAGAUAAAAUUUGUCUUAUAN
rnacentral:lncRNA from 1 species